rnacentral:tRNA from 1 species
CAAAGUGUAGCUUAAUAAAAGCACCUCGCUUACACCGAGACGAUGCCUCUUUAAAAGGGUCACUUUGA